UAGGGAAUCUUCCGCAAUGGACGCAAGUCUGACGGAGCAACGCCGCGUGAGUGAAGAAGGAUUUCGGUUCGUAAAACUCUGUUGUUAGAGAAGAACAGCGCAUAGAGUAACUGUUAUGCGUGUGACGGUAUCUAACCAGAAAGCCACGGCUAACUACGUGCCAGCAGCCGCGGUAAUACGUAGGUGGCAAGCGUUGUCCGGAUUUAUUGGGCGUAAAGCGAGCGCAGGCGGUCAAUUAAGUCUGAUGUGAAAGCCCCCGGCUCAACCGGGGAGGGUCAUUGGAAACUGGUUGACUUGAGUGCAGAAGAGGAGAGAGGAAUUCCAGGUGUAGCGGUGAAAUGCGUAGAUAUAUGGAGGAACACCAGUGGCGAAGGCGACUCUCUGGUCUGUAACUGACGCUGAGGCUCGAAAGCGUGGGUAGCAAACAGG
rnacentral:rRNA from 1 species